AUGACAUGCAAGUCGAGCGGACAGAUGGGAGCUUGCUCCCUGAUGUUAGCGGCGGACGGGUGAGUAACACGUGGGUAACCUGCCUGUAAGACUGGGAUAACUCCGGGAAACCGGGGCUAAUACCGGAUGGUUGUCUGAACAGCAUGGUUCAGACAUAAAAGGUGGCUUCGGCUACCACUUACAGAUGGACCCGCGGCGCAUUAGCUAGUUGGUGAGGUAACGGCUCACCAAGGCGACGAUGCGUAGCCGACCUGAGAGGGUGAUCGGCCACACUGGGACUGAGACACGGCCCAGACUCCUACGGGAGGCAGCAGUAGGGAAUCUUCCGCAAUGGACGAAAGUCUGACGGAGCAACGCCGCGUGAGUGAUGAAGGUUUUCGGAUCGUAAAGCUCUGUUGUUAGGGAAGAACAAGUGCCGUUCAAAUAGGGCGGCACCUUGACGGUACCUAACCAGAAAGCCACGGCUAACUACGUGCCAGCAGCCGCGGUAAUACGUAGGUGGCAAGCGUUGUCCGGAAUUAUUGGGCGUAAAGGGCUCGCAGGCGGUUUCUUAAGUCUGAUGUGAAAGCCCCCGGCUCAACCGGGGAGGGUCAUUGGAAACUGGGGAACUUGAGUGCAGAAGAGGAGAGUGGAAUUCCACGUGUAGCGGUGAAAUGCGUAGAGAUGUGGAGGAACACCAGUGGCGAAGGCGACUCUCUGGUCUGUAACUGACGCUGAGGAGCGAAAGCGUGGGGAGCGAACAGGAUUAGAUACCCUGGUAGUCCACGCCGUAAACGAUGAGUGCUAAGUGUUAGGGGGUUUCCGCCCCUUAGUGCUGCAGCUAACGCAUUAAGCACUCCGCCUGGGGAGUACGGUCGCAAGACUGAAACUCAAAGGAAUUGACGGGGGCCCGCACAAGCGGUGGAGCAUGUGGUUUAAUUCGAAGCAACGCGAAGAACCUUACCAGGUCUUGACAUCCUCUGACAAUCCUAGAGAUAGGACGUCCCCUUCGGGGGCAGAGUGACAGGUGGUGCAUGGUUGUCGUCAGCUCGUGUCGUGAAAUGUUGGGUUAAGUCCCGCAACGAGCCCAACCCUUGAUCUUAGUUGCCAGCAUUCAGUUGGGCACUCUAAGGUGACUGCCGGUGACAAACCGGAGGAAAGGGGGGGAUGACGNCAAAUCCUCAUGCCCCUUAUAACCUGGGCUACCCCCUUCCUAAAUGGANCAAACAAAGGGCACCAAACUNCNAGGUUAACCCAUCCCCAA
rnacentral:rRNA from 1 species